rnacentral:rRNA from 1 species
AUUGAACGCUGGCGGCAGGCCUAACACAUGCAAGUCGAACGAGUGGCGGAAGGGUGAGUAAUGUCUGGGAAACUGCCUGAUGGAGGGGGAUAACUACUGGAAACGGUAGCAAAUACCGCAUACCAUCGGAUGUCUCCAGAGGGGAUUCGCUAGUAGGGGGGGUAAAGGCUCACCUAGGCGACGAUCCCUAGCUGGUCUGAGAGGAUGACCAGCCACACUGGAACUGAGACACGGUCCAGACUCCUACGGGAGGCAGCAGUGGGGAAUAUUGCACAAUGGGCGCAAGCCUGAUGCAGCCAUGCCGCGUGUAUGAAGAAGGCCUUCGGGUUGUAAAGUACUUACAGCGGGGAGGCGUUACCCGAAGAAGAAGCACCGGCUAACUCCGUGCCAGCAGCCGCGGUAAUUC